UCUAAAUUUCUUCUUUAUUAUGUUUUGUGUGUUUCCUCUAAUUUUACUAUGAUCGAUAAAUAGUUUUUAAUGAAAAGAAAAUAAUAGCUUUUAUUUUGACACCACAGAUUGUUAGGUGUCUUCUCUGGCAACAAAUGUGAAUACACUGGGUGUUUUGUUUGUAAAACUGCCAAAGCUAUUUGCAUGGGUGCAGGCUAUUAUAGCUGGAGAGAACUACAAAAUAGCAACUAUUCUCAACAUUUUUUCAACAGCAAAACUCUUUCUUCAAAAGAAACCUUUAUUGAGAUGCUUACUAUGUCAACAAAGAUAAAAGCAAAGUGGUUCUCAUCCCAGUAGGGAUAAUAGGCCCAGCGUCCCAUCUUUUCCAUCUCCCCGCCCUCCUGAGAGCAGCUGAAGCCUGUUAGUGAACUCCCUAGGACUCUGUGAGACACCAUUUGUCAGGAUCCUGAUUUAGUACAACCUCUCUGUGCCGCAAGUGAAGAAUCAGGCACCGGGAGAGGCAGUGACUUGCAGGAAGUCAUCAGGGUUCCGGACCAGGGCAAAACAAAAAUUGCCAAUUUUCAUACCCCGGAGCUGAUUGCAUGAGAGACCUGCCCAGAAGAGAAAAGCACCUUUCCCUGAUGUUCUUGAGAUACCAAGACUAGAAAUAGGACCUGUGAUGCUGACCACGAGGAGUCACCCAUCCUCAGCGAUGCACUCAGCAAGCCAUAUGCGGAAUUCUGCCGGUUCAGCAAGAGCCUGGACAUCAUUUAUUAUUUGGAGGUUACCACAGCCUCCUUUUCCACCUUCAGACUCUGUGAAUCUCCUCUGAUCCCCACCUCCACCCUCAAGCUGCCUAGGCUUACAAGAAAUACUGGUAAACCCUUUCCCCUCGUUGCAAUGAAUCAAUGUCCCUGUGGCCUGCAGCCCUCAACCAUGUUUCACGUGGAGCCAGCUUUUGGAUGGAAGCAUAAAACCCCAAAUUUUGCCAAAGCUGUUCAGAGAACCCAAGGUGCUGGUGGAAGCUAGGGAGUGUUAAUCUCCACGUGCAAGGCCGGUUCCUACUCUGUCCUAGUGAUGAAGAACCAACCUGAUGUGCCUCAGAGUUUCAGUUUAGUACAAGCCUAAAGGCUUGGAUUUUGAAAAUAUAUCUGAACCCCUCAGAUGUGACAGAAUUGAACUGGAAAUCUACUUAAGCACCUAAAGAGAAUGGAAGGCUUCCGACUGCUACCUACAGAGAUGCCGGCCUGCCUGCUGCUGCUGCCACGGCUGAGAAGCCAAGACAAAGUUCCAUUGCCAGAGUUAAAUAAUACUCAUUCCUAAGUGCCCAGCCAAGCUUUCUGGUGCUCCCUAUCUCACAAGGGAUGAAACACAGGCAGUUUUCUUGAGCUUGAGAAUCAGGUCCAUAAGCCAAAGACACA